rnacentral:rRNA from 1 species
AUACAUGCAAGUCGAGCGGACUGAUUCGGAGCUUGCUUCGAGGAUGUCAGCGGCGGACGGGUGAGUAACACGUGGGUAACCUGCCUGGCAGACUGGGAUAACGCUUGGAAACGAGUGCUAAUACCGGAUGAUCUCUUGGACUGCAUGGUUCGAGAGUAAAAGGAGCUUUUGCUUCACUGCCAGAUGGACCCGCGGCGCAUUAGCUAGUUGGUGAGGUAACGGCUCACCAAGGCGACGAUGCGUAGCCGACCUGAGAGGGUGACCGGCCACACUGGGACUGAGACACGGCCCAGACUCCUACGGGAGGCAGCAGUAGGGAAUCUUCCGCAAUGGGCGCAAGCCUGACGGAGCAACGCCGCGUGAGUGAUGAAGGCCUUCGGGUUGUAAAACUCUGUCUUCUGUGAAGAACCAUCCUGUGCAGAGAAAGCUCAGGACCUGACGGUAACAGAGGAGGAAGCCCCGGCUAACUACGUGCCAGCAGCCGCGGUAAUACGUAGGGGGCAAGCGUUGUCCGGAUUCACUGGGCGUAAAGCGCGCGCAGGCGGUUUCUCACGUCCGGGGUGAAAGCCCAGAGCUCAACUCUGGGAUUGCCUUGGAUACGGGGAGACUUGAGGAUCGGAGAGGCAAGGGGAAUUCCACGUGUAGCGGUGAAAUGCGUAGAGAUGUGGAGGAACACCUGUGGCGAAGGCGCCUUGCUGGCCGAUUUCUGACGCUGAGGCGCGAAAGCGUGGGGAGCAAACAGGAUUAGAUACCCUGGUAGUCCACGCCGUAAACGAUGAGUGCUAGGUGUUAGGGGGCCCACCCCUUAGUGCCGAAGCUAACGCAUUAAGCACUCCGCCUGGGGAGUACGGUCGCAAGACUGAAACUCAAAGGAAUUGACGGGGGCCCGCACAAGCAGUGGAGCAUGUGGUUUAAUUCGAAGCAACGCGAAGAA